AUGCUCUUCACGUGCAAGCCCACCCCCGCGCACGCCGGCCCCGAAACCUGCCUGCAGAUCUUCUCCAUCGAGGUCACGGAGCUCAGCGGGGGCCUCCAGUGGCCGCUCGAGGUCUAUGGCCUGGUCGCCACCCGAGACUCGGUGGAUCAUAAUCGCAACGUCAUAUUCAGGCGCAGGAGGGACGCCUCUCUAAUCCUCACUCAACAGGAUCCGUUCUUGAAGCUCACAGGCCCGUCCCGCGCCGUCGUGUUCGCCGGCCCCGUCGACAUCGAGGUCCAGCUCAAACUCAAGGGCAGAACCACAGAGCGCGAAGACGACCACCUGAUCUCCAAAGUUUUGACAUAUGGACGUGAUUUCAGCAGUGACAAUUCCACCGAGGCAGGCAACCGCCACCUCGCACGCACCACCUGUUCCGGCAGGCUCUGCUCGCUGGAGGUCACCGCCGCCCCGCUCGCCAGGGCGAUCGAGGCCACCGUCAUCUCCGCUGAGGUCACCCAGGGCCGGUGGCCCAAAACCUUAGGAAUCCGCGUCGUCGUCUCCGGCACGGCCGGUGCAGACGAGGACUUCGUACUGCUUGAUGCUCGAGACGGCGCAUUUCGCGUGGACCUCACCGACGGCAUCAUCGCCCUUACCAGGCAUGUCGUGGUCGUGGAGGAACGCGGGAGGCUGAAACUCUGCAUAGAGGCCUACAGCAAGAGGACCGGAUGCAUGUACGAAAAAUCUGGGGUCACGGAGCUGAUGCCCAAGAGGUCCUCCGCUACCACUGCCGUAUGCAAGCUUGCCUUCUGCACGGUUGAGUUCGUCGUUGGUUGGUCCUGCCUGGUGCCCAAAGUGGGUGAGCUCACGAGGUAUGGUAUCUGA
rnacentral:rRNA from 1 species